CGGGACGUGGCGCAGUUUGGUAGCGCGCCUGCUUUGGGAGCAGGAUGUCGAAGGUUCAAAUCCUUUCGUCCCGACCA
rnacentral:tRNA from 1 species